UACCAGCACCCCGAGUGGUCGGGACGAUUAUUGGGCCUAAAGCAUCCGUAGCCGGCCUUACAAGUCCUCCGUUAAAUCCAGCUGCUUAACAGGUGGGCUGCGGAGGAUACUAUAAGACUAGGAGGCAGGAGAGGCAAGCGGUACUCAGUGGGUAGGGGUAAAAUCCGUUGAUCCAUUGAAGACCACCAGUGGCGAAGGCGGCUUGCCAGAAUGCGCUCGACGGUGAGGGAUGAAAGCUGGGGGAGCAAACCGG
rnacentral:rRNA from 1 species